rnacentral:rRNA from 1 species
ACGAGUGGCGAACGGGUGAGUAAUGUAUCGGAACGUACCAUUCAGUGGGGGAUAACGUAGCGAAAGUUACGCUAAUACCGCAUAUUCUGUGCGCAGGAAAGCAGGGGAUCGCAAGACCUUGCGCUGAUUGAGCGGCCGAUAUCAGAUUAGCUAGUUGGUGGGGUAAAAGCUCACCAAGGCGACGAUCUGUAGCGGGUCUGAGAGGAUGAUCCGCCACACUGGAACUGAGACACGGUCCAGACUCCUACGGGAGGCAGCAGUGGGGAAUUUUGGACAAUGGGGGCAACCCUGAUCCAGCCAUGCCGCGUGAGUGAAGAAGGCCUUCGGGUUGUAAAGCUCUUUCGGCCGGGAAAAAAUCGCAUGGGUUAAUACCCUGUGUGGAUGAUGGUACCGGAAUAAGAAGCACCGGCUAACUACGUGCCAGCAGCCGCGGUAAUACGUAGGGUGCGAGCGUUAAUCGGAAUUACUGGGCGUAAAGCGUGCGCAGGCGGUUUUGUAAGACAGGCGUGAAAUCCCCGGGCUCAACCUGGGAACUGCGCUUGUGACUGCAAGGCUAGAGUAUGGCAGAGGGGGGUGGAAUUCCACGUGUAGCAGUGAAAUGCGUAGAGAUGUGGAGGAACACCAAUGGCGAAGGCAGCCCCCUGGGCCAAUACUGACGCUCAUGCACGAAAGCGUGGGUAGCAAACAGGAUUAGACACCCUGGUAGUCCACGCCCUAAACGAUGUCAACUAGGUGUUGGGAGGGUAAAACCUUUUAGUACCGGAGCUAACGCGUGAAGUUGACCGCCUGGGGAGUACGGCCGCAAGGUUAAAACUCAAAGGAAUUGACGGGGACCCGCACAAGCGGUGGAUGAUGUGGAUUAAUUCGAUGCAACGCGAAAAACCUUACCUACCCUUGACAUGUCCAGGAGCCUGAAGGGAUUUGGGUGUGCCCGAAAGGGAACUGGAACACAGGUGCUGCAUGGCUGUCGUCAGCUCGUGUCGUGAGAUGUUGGGUUAAGUCCCGCAACGAGCGCAACCCUUGUCGUUAAUUGCCAUCAUUCAGUUGGGCACUUUAACGAGACUGCCGGUGACAAACCGGAGGAAGGUGGGGAUGACGUCAAGUCCUCAUGGCCCUUAUGGGUAGGGCUUCACACGUCAUACAAUGGUCGGUACAAAGGGUUGCCAACCCGCGAGGGGGAGCCAAUCCCAGAAAGCCGAUCGUAGUCCGGAUUGCAGGCCGCAACUCGCCUGCAUGAAGUCGGAAUCGCUAGUAAUCGUGGAUCAGCAUGUCACGGUGAAUACGUUCCCGGGUCUUGUACACACCGCCCGUCACACCAUGGGAGCGGGUUCCGCCAGAAGUAGGUAGCCUAACCGCAAGGGGGGCGCUUACCACGGCGGGGUUCGUGACUGGGGUGAAGUCGUAACAAGGUA